rnacentral:rRNA from 1 species
GACGAGCGCUGGCGGCGUGCUUAACACAUGCAAGUCGAACGGAAAGGCCCUGCUUUUGUGGGGUGCUCGAGUGGCGAACGGGUGAGUAACACGUGAGUAACCUGCCCUUGACUUUGGGAUAACUUCAGGAAACUGGGGCUAAUACCGGAUAGGAGCUCCUGCUGCAUGGUGGGGGUUGGAAAGUUUCGGCGGUUGGGGAUGGACUCGCGGCUUAUCAGCUUGUUGGUGGGGUAGUGGCUUACCAAGGCUUUGACGGGUAGCCGGCCUGAGAGGGUGACCGGCCACAUUGGGACUGAGAUACGGCCCAGACUCCUACGGGAGGCAGCAGUGGGGAAUAUUGCACAAUGGGCGGAAGCCUGAUGCAGCAACGCCGCGUGCGGGAUGACGGCCUUCGGGUUGUAAACCGCUUUCGCCUGUGACGAAGCGUGAGUGACGGUAAUGGGUAAAGAAGCACCGGCUAACUACGUGCCAGCAGCCGCGGUAA